AUUGAACGCUGGCGGCAUGCCUUACACAUGCAAGUCGAACGGCAGCACGGGAGCAAUCCUGGUGGCGAGUGGCGAACGGGUGAGUAAAGUAUCGGAACGUGCCCAGUCGUGGGGGAUAACGUAGCGAAAGUUACGCUAAUACCGCAUACGAUCUAUGGAUGAAAGCGGGGGAUCGCAAUACCUCGCGCGAUUGGAGCGGCCGAGAUCAGAGUAGGUAGUUGGUGGGGUAAAGGCUCACCAAGCCGACGAUCCGUAGCUGGUCUGAGAGGACGACCAGCCACACUGGGACUGAGACACGGCCCAGACUCCUACGGGAGGCAGCAGUGGGGAAUUUUGGACAAUGGGCGAAAGCCUGAUCCAGCCAUGCCGCGUGCAGGAUGAAGGCCUUCGGGUUGUAAACUGCUUUUGUACGGAACGAAAAGGUUUGGCCUAAUAAGCUGAGCUCAUGACGGUACCGUAAGAAUAAGCACCGGCUAACUACGUGCCAGCCGCCGCAGUAA
rnacentral:rRNA from 1 species